rnacentral:rRNA from 1 species
UCGCACCUGCCGAUUGAAUGGUCCGGUGAAGCCUCGGGAUUGCCAUGAGUUUCCUUUGGUGGGAGUUCGCGGCGAGAACUUGUCUAAACCUUGUCAUUUAGAGGAAGGUG